UUCACAGAAUGAUUGAGGAUUUGAGGGAAGCAUGUUAAGACUGUGACAAUAUGGUCUUAAGGCAGCCGGCCUCAUUGAGAACAAGAAAAUAUUCUGCUUCAUGUAGCGGUUGUUAUUUGUUAAUAUGACAUGUCUCGGCAGUGUAGUGACUAGUGACCCUGUGCUUAAUUAAGGCUUCAGGCUCAAAUCAUGGUAAACCAAAAUGUAAGCGGCCGGUUGAAAAAGUAGCAGAGUCGAAAAUGGAAAUUAAUGAGCUGCAGAAGUAAAUUUUAGAAGAAUAAUUCUCUUCUUUGUUGUAUCCUUGUGGCUGAGGGACAUGACGAAUGAGGCCAUUCUUUACCAGUGCUCUUCACGCCACUCAAUCCUGGGCCCGGUGCAUGCUAGCCUGCAGUGGUCUUUGUCAGAGAUGUUAUUGUGUCUGCCCAAUGUGUGCCCAUGCUGCCACUUCUUCACUUCCUUGCCGUGUCCUGUGAUUAUGGGAAUAAUAUGCAAAUAAAAACCAACAAUGGGCCAUCGAAGAACAGGAGAGGGCAUGUGGGCCUUAGAGAAAGAGUUGUUAAUGUUAAGACUAAAUAAAUUCAACAAAUAAAAUCUCAACUAUAAUACUGUCUUUGGUACACCCGCUACCAUCGCGUCAAAUAGUGAAAGUGCAGUUCAGUGUAAGCAAAGACAGUGUACAAGAUAUACCACUCACCUAUGGCAUUAGUGUUACUAGACCACAUUAAUACAUAAAGACUAUUUUUCUAAACUUGUCCAAAAAUUUUAUUAAAAAGGUGUCGGAACGCCUUACAGGUGUCUGGGGGGACCAAAUAGCGGGUUCCUUCUUUGCUCAGAGGUUGAGUCUGGCGGUGCAAAGGGGAAACGCCGCAAGCAUUCUUGGGUCUAUGCCGGAGGCAGGGGAUCUGAGGGGGUUUUUAUAUUUAGUUAUAACCUGCUUGUGUUAGUUUUAGUCUUUAGGGUUUUAAGAUUUAAUUAUAAGAUUAAAUAUAUUGUUCGUAGUUGUUGUUGAAUAAGCAGUGUUUGUGUGUCUGACUAACGAAAAUAUAAAUUCAGAUUCUAAACGUCUAAACUUGUGUAUAGCUCUGUGUUGUCUUAAUAAAUCCUAUUGGAAACGC